UUGUCAUGACAAUGAGAAGAAUAACUAAAAUAUAGUUGAAAAGGUACCCUCGUUAGCCCAUCUUCCUCCUCCUGUGUAGCUGAGAGUUAGUACCCACUGAUCCACCUUUUCUUGUGCCUCUUACUCCUGCUCUUCCCAGCAUCUGGAGACCCUGGCUUCUGUAAGAUCAAUUUUAAAAAUACAUAUUUACUUUUGGUAUGUGCAUGUCUUGGGUAAUAUUUCUUUUGCUGUGGUGAAACACUAUGACCAAAGCAACUUGGGGGAUUUUUUGGCUUACACUUCUAUAGCACUGUUCAUCAAGACAGGAACUCAAGCAGGGCAGGAACCUGGAAGAGGGGCUGAUGAAGAGGCCCAUGGAGGGGCGCUGCUUGCUGUCUUGCUUCCUAUGGCUUGCUCAGCCUGCCUUCUUAUUGAACAGAGG
rnacentral:lncRNA from 1 species